CCCACACAAAUGCCUUCACGGCUUGCAGUUGUGACAGUGUAGCACAGAGAGAGAGUCUCUCUAGCAGCAACAUUCCAGCCCAUUUAGGGCUUUAUAGAUCAAAACCUGCAGUUUAAAUCAAUCUAAAAAACAACAGAUAGAUUUACUGCUAUGUGAUCAUCCAACAAGACAACAGCUUGGGAUCCAUACAACGCCUGCUGUGCAAACACAGUAGCCUUGGAUAUCCUUGAAAGGUCACCCUAAGCAG